GCGGAUGUGGUGGAAUUGGUAGACACGCCAUCUUGAGGGGGUGGUGAGCUUACGCUCGUGCGAGUUCGAGUCUCGCCAUCCGCACCA
rnacentral:tRNA from 1 species